UCCGGUAACUAUAGCAAAAAGGAUACACCCGAUUCCAUCUCGAACUCGGAAGUUAAGUUUUUUAGCGCCGAUGGUACUGUACAGGAAACUAGUAUGGGAGAGUAGGUCGUUGCCGGUA
rnacentral:rRNA from 1 species